rnacentral:rRNA from 1 species
GACGAACGCUGGCGGCGUGCUUAACACAUGCAAGUCGAGGGCACUAUUGGGGCAACCUGGUAGUGACCGGCGAACGGGUGCGUAACACGUGAGCGACCUUGCCUCGUGGUGGGGGAUAGCCGGCCCAACGGCCGGGUAAUACCGCAUAUGGUAGUUUCUUCGCAUGGGGAGACUAGCAAAGCCUUGGAGCAAUCCAAUGGCGCCACAGGGGGGGCGGUCNCGGCCGUACU